UACGGGGGGGGCAAGCGUUGUUCGGAAUUACUGGGCGUAAAGGGCUCGUAGGCGGCCAACUAAGUCAUACGUGAAAUCCCUCGGCUUAACCGGGGAACUGCGUCUGAUACUGGAUGGCUUGAGUUCGGGAGAGGGAUGCGGAAUUCCAGGUGUAGCGGUGAAAUGCGUAGAUAUCUGGAGGAGCACCGGUGGCGAAGGCGGCAUCCUGGACCAAUACUGACACUGAGGAGCGAAAGCCAGGGGAGCAAACGGG
rnacentral:rRNA from 1 species